CCUCGAUAUAUAAUAAUCCUGAUUGUUCAAUUUAUCAAACAACAAUACUUUGAAUAGUAUUUGUUCCAACACAUAUUUCCAUUCAGUUAUUUAGACUGUUUUAUAUGAAUAAACGAGAUUAAACUAGACCACAUUUCGUUAACUGUUGACUGGAUUAAGCAUGUUAGGCGAUGUGUCUGAUUUAUAUUUAGCUGAAAAUCCCCACAUAAUAAAUUCCCACCCCUCGUCGUACUCUGAAUAUGUAGGUUCAAAUAAUAAAG
rnacentral:lncRNA from 1 species